UUUGCCUUCUUAUUCCCAAAUUUUGUAUUCUGAUGCAAUACAAGCAAGAUUUUGGACAGAGUAGCCAUUAUGAAAGAAAAAAAAAAAACACAUCAAAUUGCCCUUUCAGAAUGAGAAAUGUAGGCAAUAUGAACAAGAUGUGUUUCUGUGUUUUGGAAAAUGACAUGGAACCCUUUUGCUGAGGGGACAGAUUCUAAUUCCCUCCAAAUUUGGUUUCUUGUGUGGCAUUUUCCUGAAAGUUUUCUGGGUCUGUGUUGGUUUUGCCUUUUUCCUUCCCAAAUUUUGUAUUCUGCCGCAGUAGUAACAAGAGUUUGGACAGAGUAGCCAUUUUGUAAUGAAAAACACAACAAAUAGGCAUUUGUAGCUUAGAAAUCUACAGGUAACACGACCAAGGUGAGCUUUUGUGUUUUGGAAAAUAAAAUGGAACACUUUGGCUGAGGUGACAGAUAUUAAUUGCCUCCAAACAGAGUUUCACUGCAAUUUUCAGGUUAAUUCAGUCAGAAUUCCACAGGCAGUCAGAUGGAGGGGUGGAUGAAUCCGGGAACAGCCAGUUUCCUUGCAACUGAAUCAAGCCCAAUAUCAUUCUGGAUUCUUGCAUUUCUUUGCCUUUUUUCCCAUUUUUGUUAUUUAUCAUGAUUUGUAAUGAAUUUUCUGAUGUGAGCUUUGGUUUUGAGGCUGCAAUAUGGAGUUCAGGCCACCGGGGGAAUGGUCUUUUCCAAACAAGGCACAGCUGUUGGCCUGCUCCAAUUCUGGCUUGCUGUCAUUGUUUUGGGUGCCUCAGCUGAAUUUGGAUUUUUGAAUGGCAAUUUCCUAAACGUUUUCUGGGUCUGAGUUGGUUUUGCCUUCUUCCUUCCCAAAUUUUGUAUUCUGACGCAAUACAAACAAGAGUUUGGACAGAGUAGCCAUUAUGAAAUAAAAAACACAUCAAAUAGGUGUUUUAAGCUACAGAUAACACGACCAAGGUGAGAUUUUGUAUUUUGAAAAAAUAAAAUGGAACACUUAGGCUGUGGUGAAUGAUAUUAACUGCCUUCGUUCAGGUUAAUUCAGUCAGAAUUCCACAGGCUGUCAGCUGGAGGGGUGGAUGAAUCUGGGAACAGCCGGUUUCCUUGCGACAGUAUCAAGGCCAAUAUCAUUCUGGAUUCUUGCAUUUCUUUGACUUUUUUUCUCAUUUUUCUUAUUUAUCAUGGUUUGUAAUGAAUUUUCUGAUGUGAGCUUUGGUUUUGAGGCUGGCAUAUUGAGUUCAGGGCACAAGAGGAAGGUUCUUUUUCAAUCAGGGCACAGCUGUUGGCUUGCUCCAAUUCUGGCUUGCUGUCAUUGUUUUGGGUGCCUCAGCCGAUUUGUGGUUUCUUGAGUGGCAAUUUCCUAAAUGUUUUCUGGGUCUGAGUUGGUUUUCCUUCUUCCUUCCCAAAUUUUGUAUUCUGACACAAUACAAACAAGAGUUUGGACAGAGUAGCCAUUAGGAAAUAAAAAACACAACAAAUAGGCUUUUGAAGAUACAGGUAACACGACCAAGGUGAGAUUUUGUGUUUUGGAAAAUAAAAUGGAACACUUUGGCUGUGGUGACAGAUAUUAACUGCCUCCGUUCAGGUUAAUUCAGUCAGAAUUCCACAGGCAGUCAGCUGGAUGGGUGGAUGAAUCCGGGAACAGCCGGUUUCCUUGCAACUAAAUCCAGCCCAAUAUCAUUCUUGAUUCUUGCAUUUCUUUGUCUAUUUUCUCAUUUUUCUUAUUUAUCAUGGUUUGUAAUGAAUUUUCUGAUGUGAGCUUUGGUUUUGAGGCUGCAGUAUGGAGUUCAGGGCACCGGAGGAAUAGUCUUUUUCAAUCAGGGCACAGCUGUUGGCCUGCUCCAAUUCUGGCUUGCUGUCAUUGUUUUGGGUGCCUCUGCCGAUUUGAGGUUUCUUGAGUGGCAAUUUCCUAAACGUUUUCUGAGUCUCAGUUGGUUUUGUCCUCUUCCUUCCCAAAUUUUGUAUUCUGACGCAACAGAAACAAGAGUUUGGACAGAAUAGCCAUUAUGAAAUAAAAAAACACAUCAAAUAGGCUUUUGAAAGCUACAGGUAACACGACCAAGGUGAGAUUUUGUUUUGGAAAAUGAAAUGGAACACUUUGGCUGUGGUGACAGAUAUUAACUGCCUCCGUUCAGGUUAAUUCAGUCAAUAUUCCUCAGGCAUCAGCUGGAGAGGUGGAUGAAUCUGGGAACAGCCGGUUUCCUUGCGACAGUAUCAAGGCCAAUAUCAUUAUGAAUUCUUGAAUUUCUUUGGCCUUUUUCUCAUUUUUCUUAAUUUUAGUGGUUUGUAAUGAAUUUUCUGAUGUGAGCUUUGGUUUUGAGGCUGGCAUAUGGAGUUCAGGGCACAAGAGGAAGGUUCUUAUUCAAUCAGGUCACAGCUGUUGGCUUGCUCCAAUUCUGGCUUGCUGUCAUUGUUUUGGGUGCCUCCGCCGAUUUGAAGUUUCUUGAGCAUCAAUAUCCUAAAUGUUUUCUUGGUCUGAGUUGGUUUUCCUUCUUCCUUCCCAAAUUUUGUAUUCUGACACAAUACAAACAAGAGUUUGGACAGAGUAGCCAUUAGGAAAUAAAAAACACAACAAAUAGGCUUUUGAAGCUACAGGUAACACGACCAAGGUGAGAUUUUGUGUUUUGGAAAAUCAAAUGGAACAAGUUGGCUGUGGUGACAGAUAUUAACUGCCUCCGUUCAGGUUAAUUCAGUCAGAAUUCCACAGGCAGUCAGCUGGAGGGGUGGAUGAAUCCGGGAAUAGCCGGUUUCCUUGCAACUAAAUGAAGCCCAAUAUCAUUGUGGAUUCUUGCAUUUCUUUGGCUUUAUUCUGAUAUUUCUUAUUUAUCAUGGUUUGUAAUGAAUUUUCUGAUGUCAGCUUUGCUUUUGAGGCUGGCAUACGGAGUUCAGGGCACCGGAGGAAUGGUCUUUUUCAAUCAGGGCACAGCUGUUGGCUUGCUCCAAUUCUGGCUUGCUGUCAUUGUUUUGGGUGCCUCCGCCGAUUUGAGGUUUCUUGAGUGGCAAUUUCCUAAACGUUUUCUGAGUCUCAGUUGUUUUUGUCCUCUUACUUCCCAAAUUUUGUAUUCUGACGUAAUACAAGCAAGAUUUUGGACAGAAUAGACAUUAUGAAAUAAAAAACACAUCAAAUAGGCUUUUGAAAGCUACAGGUAACCCGACCAAGGUGAGAUUUUGUGUUUUGGAAAAAGAUAUGGAACACUUUUGCUGAGGUGACAGAUAUUAAUUGCCUCCAAACCGAGUUUCACAGCGAAUUUCAUUUUAAUUCAGUCAGAAACCACAGACACUCAGCUGGGAGGUAUAGAAGAAUCUGGAAACAGCCAUUAACAAGGGAAUAAAUCAAGCCCAAUAUCACUAAGAACUCCUGCAUUUCUUUGGAUUUUUUCUGAUUUUUCUUAUUUAUCAUGGUUUGUAAUGAAUUUUCUGAUCUGAGGUUUGGUUUUGAGGUUGCAAUAUCGAGUUCAGGACACCGGAGGAAUGGUCUUUUUCAAUCAGGGCACAGCUGUUGGCUUGCUCCAAUUCUGUCUUGCUUUCAAGGUUUUGGCUUCCUCAGCGGCCCUUUGUUUCUUGAGCGGCAAUUUCCUAAAUGUUUUCUGGGUCUGAGUUGGUUUUGCCUUCUUCCUUCCCAAAUUUUGUAAUCUGACGCAAUAGAAACAAAAGUUUGGGCAGAGUAGCCAUUAUGAAAUAAAAAACACAACAAAUAGGCGUUUGAAGCUUAGAAAUCUACAGGUAACACAACCAAGGUGAGUUUUUGUGUUUUGGAAAAUCAAAUGGAACACUUUGGCUGAGGUGACAGAUAUUAAUUGCCUCCAAAUUGAGUUUCACUGCGAUUUUCAGGUUAAUUCAGUCAGAAUUCCACAAGCUGUCAGCUGGAGGGGUGGAUGAAUCCGGGAACAGCCGGUUUCCAUGCGACUAAAUCCAGCCCAAUAUCAUUAUGGAUUCUUGCAUUUCUUUGGCUUUUUUCUCAUUUUUCUUAUUUAUCAUGGUUUGUAAUGAAUUUUCUGAUGUGAUCUUUGGUUUUGAGGCUGCAAUAUGGAGUUCAGGGCACCGGAGGAAUGGUCUUUUUCAAACAGGUCACAGCUGUUGGCCUGCUCCAAUUCUGGCUUGCUGCCAUUUAUUUGGGUGCCUCAGCUGACUUUCGGUUUCUUGAGUGGCAAUUUCCUAAAUGUUUUCUGGGUCUGAGUUGGUUUUGCCGUCUUCCUUCCCAAAUUUUCUUUUCUGAGGCAUACAAACAAGACUUUGGACAGAGUAGACAUUAUGAAAUAAAAAACACAUCAAAUAGGCUUUUGAAAGCUACAGGUAACACGACCAAGGUGAGAUUUUGUGUUUUGUAAAAAGACAUGGAACACUUUUGCUGAGGUGACAGAUAUUAAUUGCCUCCAAACCGAGUUUCACAGCGAAUUUCAUUUUAAUUCAGUCAGAAACCACAGACACUCAGCUGGGAGGUAUAGAAGAAUCUGGAAACAGCCAUUAACAAGGGAAUAAAUCAAGCCCAAUAUCACUAAGAACUCCUGCAUUUCUUUGGAUUUUUUCUGAUUUUUCUUAUUUAUCAUGAUUUGUAAUGAAUUUUCUGAUCUGAGGUUUGGUUUUGAGGUUGCAAUAUCGAGUUCAGGACACCGGAGGAAUGGUCUUUUUCAAUCAGGGCACAGCUGUUGGCUUGCUCCAAUUCUGUCUUGCUUUCAAGGUUUUGGCUUCCUCAUCGGCCCUUUGUUUCUUGAGCGGCAAUUUCCUAAAUGUUUUCUGGGUCUGAGUUGGUUUUGCCUUCUUCCUUCCCAAAUUUUGUAAUCUGACGCAAUAGAAACAAAAGUUUGGGCAGAGUAGCCAUUAUGAAAUAAAAAACACAACAAAUAGGCGUUUGAAGCUUAGAAAUCUACAGGUAACACAACCAAGGUGAGUUUUUGUGUUUUGGAAAAUCAAAUGGAACACUUUGGCUGAGGUGACAGAUAUUAAUUGCCUCCAAACUGAGUUUCACUGGGAUUUUCAGGUUAAUUCAGUCAGAAUUCCACAGGCAGUCAGCUGGAGGGGUGGAUGAAUCCGGGAACAGCCCAUUUCCUUGCGACUGAAUCAAGCCCAAUGUCAUUAUGGAUUCUUGCGUUUCUUUGGCUUUUUUCUCAUUUUUCUUAUUUAUCAUGGUUUGUAAUGAAUUUUCUGAUGUCAGCUUUGGUUUUGAGGCUGUAAUAUGGCGUUCAGGGCACCAGAGGUAUGGUCUUUUUCAAACAGGGCACAGCUGUUGUGCUGCUCCAAUUCUGGCUUGCUGUCAUUGUUUUGAGUGCCUCAGCCGAUUUGUGGUUUCUUGAGCGGCAAUUUCCUAAAGGUUUUCUGGGUCUGAGUUGGUUUAGCCUUCUUCCUUCCCAAAUGUUGUAUUCUGACGCAAUACAAACAAGAGUUUGGGCGGAGUAGCCAUUAUGAAAUAAAAAACACAACAAAAAGGCGUUUGAAGCUCAGAAAAAUACAGGUAACACGAGCAAGGUGAGUUUUUGUGUUUUGGAAAAUAAAAUGGAACACUUUGUUGAGGUCACAGAUAUUAAUUGCCUCCAAACUGAGUUUCACUGCGAUUUUCAGGUGAAUUCAGUCAGAAGUCCACAGGCAGUCAGCUGGAGGUGUGGAUGAAUCCGGGAACAGCCGGUUUCCUUGCGACUAAAUCAAGCCCAAUAUCAUUCUUGAUUCUUGCAUUUCUUUGGCUUUUUUCUCCUUUUUCUUAUUUAUCAUGGUUUGUAAUGAAUUUUCUGAUGUGAGCUUUGGUUUUGAGGUUGCAAUAUUGAGUUCAGGGCACCUGAGGAAUGGUCUUUUUCAAACAGGGUACAGCUGUUGGCUUGCUCCAAUUCUGGCUUGCUGUCAUUGUUUUGGGAGCCUCAGCUGACUUUUGGUAUCUUGAGCGGCAAUGUCCUAAAUGUUU